rnacentral:rRNA from 1 species
AACGAACGCUGGCGGCAGGCCUCAAACAUGCAAGUCGAGGGGGCGUAGCAAUACGUCACCGGCGGACGGGUGCGUAACACGUGGGAAUGUACCUAAUGGUUCGGAACAACGCUUGGAAACGAGUGCUAAUACCGGAUGAGCCCGCAAGGGGAAAGAUUUAUCGCCAUUAGAUCAGCCCGCGUAGGAUUAGCUAGUUGGUGAGGUAAUGGCUCACCAAGGCGACGAUCCUUAGCUGUUCUGAGAGGAAGAUCAGCCACACUGGGACUGAGACACGGCCCAGACUCCUACGGGAGGCAGCAGUUGGGAAUCUUGGACAAUGGGGGAAACCCUGAUCCAGCCAUGCCGCGUGAGUGAUGAAGGCCUUAGGGUUGUAAAGCUCUUUUGCCCGGGAAGAUAAUGACUGUACCGGGAGAAUAAGCUCCGGCUAACUUCGUGCCAGCAGCCGCGGUAAUACGAAGGGGGCUAGCGUUGUUCGGAAUUACUGGGCGUAAAGCGUGCGCAGGCGGC